GUCCUUUUGUAAAAAAUUUAAGGUCUAACCUGCCCACUGAAAUUUUAAAUGGCCGCAGUAUUUUGACUGUGCAAAGGUAGCAUAAUCAUUAGUUUUUUAAUUGAAAGCUGGUAUGAAGGGUUGGAUGAAAAAAAAACUGUCUCUAUUUAAUUUAUUGAAGAAAUUUAUUUUUGAGUUAAAAAGCUUAAAUUAUUUUGAAAGACGAGAAGACCCUAUAGAGUUUAAUAAAAAUUUAUGAUAUAAAAUUUUGGAAUUUUAAUUUUAAAUUAAAAAUUUUUGUUUUGUUGGGGUGAUGAAAAAAUUAAAUAAACUUUUUUUUAAUAAAACCAUUGAUUUAUGAAAAAUUGAUCCAUAAAUUAUGAUUAAAAGAUAAAAUUACCUUAGGGAUAACAGCGUAAUUUUUUUUUAGAGUUCAAAUUAAAAAAAAAGAUUGCGACCUCGAUGUUGGAUUAAAAUAAAUUUUUGGUGUAGAAGUUAAAAAUUUUUGGUCUGUUCGACCAUUAAAAUUUUACA
rnacentral:rRNA from 1 species